CCUACAUAUAAGAGUCCACAUGAACAGGUGAGGAGGUAGACCACAAAGGAAGAAUUGCAUGUGAUCCUUGAAUUAACUGUAUACGUCUCAUCGUUAGAGGAAUUGAAAUUGGAUAUCCCACGGCACAAAUAGGUGACAGGUUAAGCAUGUAGUUGAACCACAUCUGAAGCACCCUGGUUUAAGAUGGGUCGGUGGGUUCAAAGGUCCUAUCGGGGUAAAUUUAGACGGUGCUAACAGAUUUUUGAGAUUCACGUUUCUCCUGUCACUCUAGGUGCUCCAGAUAUGCUAAAAUUCAAC